rnacentral:tRNA from 1 species
GCCGGUAUAGCUCAGCUGGUAGAGCAACUGACUUGUAAUCAGUAGGUCCUGGGUUCGACUCCUAGUGCCGGCACCA